GUUCUUGUAGUUGAGAUUUAUCAAUGGCGGCUUUUCAAGCCGCAGACCUUGGAGAGAAGCCAAGCAGGAAUA
rnacentral:tRNA from 1 species